UAUUGUACAAAUAAUAUACUAAACGAAAAAAGAAAGAAAGAAAGAAAGAAGAAAGAAACGACGACACGCUAGGAUGUUCAUUCAAAAUCUCCCUCUCGCUUCACUAUUGUCUGUGUCACUAUCCUUGUUGGUGUUAGUGUUAGUACCAUUGGAAAG
rnacentral:ribozyme from 14 species